GUAAGGAUCAUUUUCCAAACCGUCAGCGGUAAGACCACAAGAGGGAGCAGGACAGAAAUGUAGCCGAAUAUUUGACUUUUCUACAGCAGGCCGCUGAUAAAAUGUCUAAACCAAAGGAUUGGUUUGUUUCAAUGACGAUAUUAUUAACUUAAUACAAGAACCGUGAGACCCGCGGGGUUUUCGCUUGGCUGGAAUUGCCGUAGUAGCUUCACGCGGGAGAUACGCUAACAGAGCGGUGACCCUCUGAUGACCUAGCCUGGUGUGAAACAUGGCACAUAGGAGUGGCUGCAAACUCGGACACAGGCAGCAGAGGGUUUGAUGCGCGCAGACAGCAGACAAGCAGUUCUGGGAGCAGGAGGAGACACAGAUAGAAACAGACAGAGAGAGAAGCAGAUGAAGGUAAACAGUGAUAAAGACGGAAAGAGAAAGAAGGUGGAAGAUAGAGGUAGAAUUAAAGAGGGCAGUUUGAAAUAUAAAAUAAAUAAAGGCCAGGUAAUCAAGAAAAAAAAAUGGCAAUGAAAAGAAGAAACCAGAGUGGGAAAUAACAAAGCAGGUGAAAGGCUGAGUGUGUCAGUGGGAGAGAAACAAAGAAAGACAAUAGGAGAGGCCAUCAAGGCAGCCACUUAAUAGUCCACCCACUCGCUGCUGUCCAAAUGGGCAGAUUGACGCCUGUUAGCUCUUUUAAUAGCUCCUAUAAUGGACCGCAGUUUAGGUGGGCGGCAGGAAAAGGGAGCCGUCCUGUCCAAAGUAACUCAAUUCCUCGGUUCUGUUCUCCAGUUUCAGUCCCUUUCAGCACA